rnacentral:rRNA from 1 species
AUUGAACGCUGGCGGAAUGCUUUACGCAUGCAAGUCGAACGGCAGCACGGACUUCGGUCUGGUGGCGAGUGGCGAACGGGUGAGUAAUGUAUCGGAACGUGCCCAGUCGUGGGGGAUAACGUAGUGAAAAUUACGCUAAUACCGCAUACGAUCUAUGGAUGAAAGCGGGGGAUCGCAAGACCUCGCGCGAUUGGAGCGGCGUAUAUCAGAUUAGGUAGUUGGUGGGGUAAAGGCCCACCAAGCCAACGAUCUGUAGCUGGUCUGAGAGGACGACCAGCCACACUGGAACUGAGACACGGUCCAGACUCCUACGGGAGGCAGCAGUGGGGAAUUUUGGACAAUGGGCGAAAGCCUGAUCCAGCCAUUCCGCGUGCAGGAUGAAGGCCCUCGGGUUGUAAACUGCUUUUGUACAGAACGAAAAGGUUUCUACUAAUACUAGGAGCUCAUGACGGUACUGUAAGAAUAAGCACCGGCUAACUACGUGCCAGCCGCCGCGGUAA